rnacentral:rRNA from 1 species
GUGGGGAAUUGUUCGCAAUGGGCGCAAGCCUGACGACGCAACGCCGCGUGGAGGAUGAAGGUCUUCGGAUUGUAAACUCCUGUUGAUCGGGAAGAAUGGACUCCGGGUUAAUACUCCGGGGUAGUGACGGUACCGAUUGAGGAAGCCACGGCUAACUCUGUGCCAGCAGCCGCGGUAAUACAGAGGUGGCAAGCGUUGUUCGGAAUUACUGGGCGUAAAGGGCGCGUAGGCGGCCUUCUAAGUCAGACGUGAAAUCCCCAGGCUUAACUUGGGAACUGCGUCUGAUACUGGGAGGCUUGAGUGCGGGAGAGGGAUGUGGAAUUCCAGGUGUAGCGGUGAAAUGCGUAGAUAUCUGGAGGAACACCGGUGGCGAAGGCGGCAUCCUGGACCGACACUGACGCUGAGGCGCGAAAGCUAGGGGAGCAAACGGGAUUAGAAACCCGAGUAGUCC